rnacentral:rRNA from 1 species
GACGAACGCUGGCGGCGUGCUUAACACAUGCAAGUCGAACGAAGUGGCGAACGGGUGAGUAAUACGUGAGUAACCUGCCCUCCUUUUUGGGAUACGCCUUGGAAACGGGGUCUAAUACCGAAUAAAGGGGGAUGGGCUCGCGGCCUGUCAGCUUGUUGGUGGGGUCAUGGACUACAAAGGCGGUGACGGGGAGGCGGGCUGAGCGGGUGACCUGUGACAUUGGGAAUGAGAUACGGCCCAGACUCCUACGGGAGGGAGCAGUGGGGGAUAUGGCACAAUGGGCGAAAGCCUGAUGCAGCGACGCCGCGUGGGGGAUGAAGGCUUUUGGGGUGUAAACCUCUUUCGCUAGCGAACGGGGAGGGGGAGAAGAAGCGCCGGCUAACUCCGUGCCAGCAGCGGCGGUAAUAC